CUAUGCAUAAAAUAGGUAGAUUAAACAGCAAAGUACAAGAAAAGCCGAGAGUAUCGAUUCCUAGCUAGAUAACUGGUGAUAAAACUAGAACAACAGGUAAAACCUAGAAUUCUAGUAAGUAUCGAUAACUGGUGAAUAAAUCUAAACGAAACAACAGCGAUGCGCCCGAAGUUAAAGCUUAGAAAUUACUCGAUAAACAGAACUUACAAGAUCGGCCGGAGGUCAAGUUGAUGCAGCCCCGCCAACCCGUACGAACUCGUGAAAAGAAGAAAAGUAUUGGCGAAGUCGCCUGCUCGAAAGUAAGUACGAGGAAAAAGUAAUUUGUUGUAUUGAGUUGAUUGUAUGAUUACAGAUCCAUAAGGGUGGCUAUUUAUAGCCCCGUACAAACAACUUCCUAUCCGACUAGAACUCUAUCCCUAAGUUUAAACGGAAAACGAAUAUUUACAAGUACGAUUCGUACUAUUUUCACGCGCUUCAUGGGCUGACUCCUUCUUCAUCUUCAUAAUCUUUUUUAAGCCCACAUCGGCCCAACUAUUCUUAACCUCCUAAUCGGCCGAUCACCUCUCUAGCAAGGGGGUAACCGAUCAAGACCCACACGUCGAGAGCUCAGACUUAUCCCGACCCUUGGGACUAAGGUCAGACGAGGCGGAGAUCCUCCUUUAGAGGGUCAGGCGCGUCCGAUCCCAAGCCUCAGGGGUCGGGCGAGGCGGAGAUCCUCCCUUGGAGGGUCGGGCGCGUCCGAUCCCAAGCCUUAGGGGUCGGGCGAGGCGGAAACCCUCCCUUGGAGGAUCGGGCGCGUCCGAUCCCAAACCCCAGGGGUCGGGUGAGGCGGAGAUCCUCCCUUGGAGGGUCGGACGCGUCCGAUCCCAAGCCUUAGGGGUCGGGCGAGGCGGAACUCCAAGG
rnacentral:lncRNA from 1 species